rnacentral:rRNA from 1 species
AGUAGUUUGAUCCUGGCUCAGGACGAACGCUGGCGGCGUGCUUAACACAUGCAAGUCGAACGGGGAUAUGUUAGAUGAGAGCUUCGGCAGGAUUCGGAUAUAUUCUAGUGGCGGACGGGUGAGUAACGCGUGAGCAACCUGUCCCAGACAGGGGGAUAACACUUGGAAACAGGUGCUAAUACCGCAUAAGACCACAGGGUCACAUGGCCCAGGGGUAAAAGGUGCAAACCGGUUUGGGGUGGGCUCGCGUCCGAUUAGCCAGUUGGCGGGGUAACGGCCCACCAAAGCGACGAUCGGUAGCCGACCUGAGAGGGUGAUCGGCCACAUUGGAACUGAGAGACGGUCCAAACUCC